GUGGGAAUAGCUCAGUGGUAGAGCACAUGCUUAGCAUACAUGAGGUCCUGGGUUCAAUCCCCAGUACCUUCA
rnacentral:tRNA from 1 species